rnacentral:lncRNA from 1 species
UAUGGGGUCUCUAUGGGUCUCUGUGGGUCGGGGUGGGGUUCUAUGGGGUCUCUGUGGGUCGCUAUGGGGUCUCUAUGGGUCUUUAUGGGUCUCUGUGGGGUUGCUGUGGGGUGUUAUGGGGUCUUUAUGGGCUUUUAUGGGGUCUCUAUGGGGCUCUGUGGGUCGCUAUGGGGUCUCUAUGGGGUCUCUGUGGGUCUUUAUGGGUCUCUAUGGGUCCCUGUGGGUCUCUAUGGGUCUCUGUGGGUCUCUAUGGGUCGCUGUGGGUCACUAUGGGUCAGUGUAGGUCGCUAUGGGUCACGGUGUGGGUCUCUAUGGGUCGCUGUGGGUUGCUAUGGGUCAGUGUGGGUCACUAUGGGUCGCUGUGUGGGUCGCUAUGGGUCGCUGUGGGUUGCUAUGGGUCUCUAUGGGUCUCUAUGGCUCUCUAUGGUCUCUGUGGGUCUCUGUGGGUUUCUGUGGGUCGCUAUGGGUCCCGCUAUGGGUCGCUGUGGGGCUGCCCCAUAGUACGCGUCGGUGGAGGAGGCGGCGGCGACGCGGGAGGCGCUGCACGGCGUCAGGUGGCCGCAGUCCAACCCC